UAGCGUAGGGGGCAAGCGUUGUCCGGAUUUAUUGGGCGUAAAGGAGCGUGUAGGCGGCCAGACAGGUCAGCUGUGAAAACUCGAGGCUCAACCUCGAGACGUCGGUUGAGACCGUCUGGCUAGAGUCCGGAAGAGGAGAGUGGAAUUCCCGGUGUAGCGGUGAAAUGCGCAGAUAUCGGGAAGAACACCCGUGGCGAAGGCGGCUCUCUGGGACGGUACUGACGCUGAGGCGCGGAAAGCUAGGGGAGCGAACGGG
rnacentral:rRNA from 1 species